UCCGUUGGUGAACCAGCGGAGGGAUCAUUACUGAGUUUACGCUCUAUAACCCUUUGUGAACAUACCUAUAACUGUUGCUUCGGCGGGUAGGGUCUCCGUGACCCUCCCGGCCUCCCGCCCCCGGGCGGGUCGGCGCCCGCCGGAGGAUAACCAAACUCUGAUUUAACGACGUUUCUUCUGAGUGGUACAAGCAAAUAAUCAAAACUUUUAACAACGGAUCUCUUGGUUCUGGCAUCGAUGAAGAACGCAGCGAAAUGCGAUAAGUAAUGUGAAUUGCAGAAUUCAGUGAAUCAUCGAAUCUUUGAACGCACAUUGCGCCCGCCAGCAUUCUGGCGGGCAUGCCUGUUCGAGCGUCAUUUCAACCCUCAAGCUCUGCUUGGUGUUGGGGCCCUACAGCUGAUGUAGGCCCUCAAAGGUAGUGGCGGACCCUCCCGGAGCCUCCUUUGCGUAGUAACUUUACGUCUCGCACUGGGAUCCGGAGGGACUCUUGCCGUAAAACCCCCAAUUUUCCAAAGGUUGACCUCGGAUCAGGUAGGAAUACCCGCUGAACUUA
rnacentral:rRNA from 1 species